rnacentral:lncRNA from 1 species
CCGAGCUGCCGUCUCUGUCGCCAGCACCCACCACAGCGAGGCGAGCCGUGGUGCCACACGCUCCAGCCUCCAGCUGUGGCAAGUGACUACCCCUUCUCCUGGUCCUCUAAGCCUGGCACGGAGCAGCUGCGCAGGCAGCCACACAAGAGCCUGGAAUGGCCUGAUGCCCCUUCUGCAUGCCUUAUACAUGAGCUUAUGCAAAUGAGGUUCCUGGACUACAUAUUCUGAUUGGAUGAGAGAAAACCUCUAGGCCUAUUCUGAUUGGACUUUAUUUUCAUGCUGUGAUUGGUUGUCCUAAGACUUGCUCUCAUCCAAUCAGAAUCGAAGCUGGGAGCUCAGCUUAGAGAACAGGAAGUGGGAGCCACAUACCCCGAGCUGGCGGCUUGAGCCUGUGGUAUCUAGGCUCACCUCACUGCGGUUGGUGGAGGUGAUGGAGGUUGCAGCUUGGCCAGCAUGGUAGAAAGGUGGCAGGGUAGGUGAGCUAUCCAGGGAUGCGCUACCCUGGGUAGGAGCACUAUCAAGGUCACAUUGCCGGUGGGGUAUCGGGGGCAUGGGUUGGCGGAGUUGGUGGGGGCUAUACUGCCUGGUGGUGGGGGUGGUUGUGUGUACUAAGGGGGCUGACCGCCAGCUAGGGGGAGGGUUAGGGGUGCUAUCAGCUCCUGCACUGUCAUGGCAGGGGGGCAGGUUGGGGGCACUAUCUGGGCUGUCACUACCCCCAGCAAGGGCUGGUUGGGGGCACUAUCCCUGGCUGCACUGCUGGGGGCAGUGGGGCAGUUUGGGGGCACUAUCAGGUUUACAUGCCCUGUGGCAUGCCGGUGGGGGGGCACUAUUGGGGGUUGCACUGCACUGCUGCUUCUGGCAACGGGCUACGGGGGUGGCUGCGAUAGCUGUGGCCUCCAAGGAAGGGGCCGUCCUCCUCUUCCCAGACUCUAGAUUCUAGAGGGCAACCUCUGUUUGCUCAUGCUGGAGCGUGGCAGGUGCACAAUGUUUCCUUGGGAAUCCUCAGCAGGGCACGUCUGGCUUUUACCACCCAGUUGCUUCGAGCCAGGAGAUGGAGGAGUCAUCUGUUGCACGCUGGAGGCUGGAGCCUGCAGAUGGCAUGGUUCUGUGGCUCACCUCGCUGCAGUUGGUGGCAGAGACAGAGACUGCAGCUUGACCAGAGUGGUGGAGUGGUAGGAGAGUGUCUGCGGGGGCCUCCUGGAGGUGGUAGGAGGCUUGUAGGGUGGGCCGGUGCAUUGAGGGCAACAGCAGCGGUGCUCAUGUUGGUGUUGGCAUUAGUGGUGGCGGCAGCAGCAAGUCUGGGAUCCGAGAAGUGGGAGUGGGAAUGCUGUGGAGCCCACCGGGCCCAGCCUGGCCUGAAGUGGGGAGGCAGCUGCGGGUGCUGUACUGUGGGCCUAGGUGGCAGCAGUGGAGGCCCAGCCAUGGCAAGGAGGAGUCCUCCUCCUUCUCCUGCAGAAUCUGGAAGUGCCCUCCUCCUGCUGGUGCCUGGGCCAGGUGUGAGUGGCAACAUUGUCUUAUUCUUA